UACGUAGGGUGCAAGCGUUGUCCGGAAUUAUUGGGCGUAAAGAGCUCGUAGGCGGUCAGUCGCGUCUGCUGUGAAAACUCGGGGCUUAACCCCGGGCCUGCAGUGGGUACGGGCUGACUAGAGUGCGGUAGGGGAGACUGGAAUUCCUGGUGUAGCGGUGAAAUGCGCAGAUAUCAGGAGGAACACCGGUGGCGAAGGCGGCGACCUGGUCCGAUACUGACGUUGAGGCGCGAAAGCGUGGGGAGCAAACAGG
rnacentral:rRNA from 1 species